rnacentral:rRNA from 1 species
UACGGGGGGGGCAAGCGUUGUUCGGAAUUACUGGGCGUAAAGGGCGCAUAGGUGGCCAACUAAGUCAGACGUGAAAUCCCUCGGCUUAACCGGGGAACUGCGUCUGAUACUGGAUGGCUUGAGUUUGGGAGAGGGACGCGGAAUUCCAGGUGUAGCGGUGAAAUGCGCAGAUAUCAGGAGGAACACCGGUGGCGAAGGCGGGUCUCUGGGCCGAUACUGACGCUGAGGAGCGAAAGCGUGGGGAGCGAACAGG